rnacentral:rRNA from 1 species
CAAUAGCGUAUAUUAAAGUUGUUGCGGUUAAAAGCUCGUAGUUGGAUUUCUGCUGAGGACGACCGGUCCGCCCCUCUGGGUGAGUAUCUGGUUCGGCCUGGGCAUCUUCUUGGAGAGCGUAGCUGCACUUGACUGUGUGGUGCGGUAUCCAGGACUUUUACUUUGAGGAAAUUAGAGUGUUUCAAGCAGGCACACGCCUUGAAUACAUUAGCAUGGAAUAAUAAGAUAGGACCUCGGUUCUAUUUUGUUGGUUUCUAGAGCUGAGGUAAAUGAUUAAUAGGGGAUAGUUGGGGGCAUUCGUAUUUAACUGUCAGAGGUGAAAUUCUUGGAUCGCCGUAAGACGAAACUACUGCGAAAAGCAUUUU